GUGAGGAAUAUUGCGCAAUGGAGGCAACUCUGACGCAGCCAUGCCGCGUGCAGGAAGAAGGCGCUACGCGUUGUAAACUGCUUUUAACCGGGAAGAAACCCCAGGACGUGUCCUGGGUUGACGGUACCGGAGGAAUAAGCACCGGCUAACUUCGUGCCAGCAGCCGCGGUAAUACGAAGGGUGCAAGCGUUAUCCGGAUUCAUUGGGUUUAAAGGGUGCGUAGGCGGAGCGUUAAGUCAGUGGUGAAAUCCUGCAGCUUAACUGUAGACUUGCCAUUGAUACUGGCGCUCUUGAGUGCGCUUGAAGUGGGCGGAAUGUGCCGUGUAGCGGUGAAAUGCUUAGAUAUGGCACAGAACACCAAUUGCGAAGGCAGCUCACUAAGGCGAUGCUGACGCUGAGGCACGAAAGCGUGGGGAUCGAACAGGAUUAGAAACCCGGGUAGUCC
rnacentral:rRNA from 1 species